rnacentral:tRNA from 1 species
ACCUUCGUGGUGUAGUGGUCAUCACGCUCGAACCGUAUUCGAGAGGUCCGUGGUUCGAGUCCCGGCAAGGACA